GCUUCUGUAGCUUAAACAAUUAAAGCACUG
rnacentral:tRNA from 2 species